AUAAAUUUACAACCAAGUACUGUAACCUUAACUGAAGUUGACUCCCCCUCGGUCUCUCCACACGGCCCUCCAUGUAAUAGUAAACCGAUGUCACUAACACACAGUAGGAAUCUUUCACGGCAAACCCAAAAAUGGUAUCGCUUUUCUCUGAAUGUACAGGAGUUGAACCAGUUAAAAACCUGACAAUAUUAUGCAGAGUUUGCUGUUUCAUAUUUUGAUGAUACAACAUUUAGAGAAGUUACUAUAACUUACGAUGUAGUCAUUUUGUUCAGCCCCUGUCAUUCAAAUGCAUAUUGAUCUAUCAGGUCAGAUGUUUUUCUUAAACUGUCUUGUCAUUUUUUUGUUUUCUACCACCGUGUGAGAAUUCAUCUUUCAUCACUAGUGAAUUAAUUAAAGAGAUUUUUCUCUUUCUGAUGUUACAGUUAUAUUUAAUUAUCCGAAUCUAAAGUGCUGCUUCUUCUAAAACACAAUUUGUCCUUCACAUCUUUGUCCUGUGUCUGAAAUAAUAACAGGUGAUUAACAGUUGUUAUAUCUGGGUUGUAUCUGGAAUUUAUUUAACAGGAUAAUAAGGCCAACAUUUAAAGUUAAUAAAGAAGGAAAAAUACUGCAACAAUAUGUUAAAAUACAAACAAUGAAAUAUUACAAUAGCACAAUAUCAUGAUAUAAAAUGUUAAUAUGGUGACAUUAACCUGAUAAUAAUGCAGUAAUAUAGAUUGCUGUUGUUACUAGCUACACUUCUGUAUAUUAUGUUAUAUCAGAGUUUUCUAAAUU